CCAAUAGCGUAUAUUAAAGUUGUUGCAGUUAAAAAGCUCGUAGUUGAACUUCGGGGUUUACUUAUUGGUCAGGCUUAAUUGUCUGCACUGGUGAGAUGAAUCUCUACCUUCUGAGGAACUUUCAUGCCAUUUAUUUGGUGUGAUUGGAAAUCAGGACUGUUACUUUGAAAAAAUUAGAGUGUUUAAAGCAGGCUAACGUCUGAAUACAUUAGCAUGGAAUAAUGAAAUAGGACGGACUGAUUCUAUUUCGUUGGUUUCUAGGAUCACCGUAAUGAUUAAUAGGGAUAGUUGGUGGCAUUAGUAUUCAAUUGUCAGAGGUGAAAUUCUUGGAUUUAUUGAAGACUAACUACUGCGAAAGCAUUUGCCAAGGAUGUUUUCAUUAAUCAAGAACGAAAGUUAGGGGAUCGAAGACGAUCAGAUACCGUCGUAGUCUUAACCAUAAACUAUGCCGACUAGGGAUCGGACGAAGUUAAUUUUAUAAUGACGCGUUCGGCACCUUACG
rnacentral:misc_RNA from 1 species